GGGAUUUUAAAGUAUGGUGUGGAUGUGUCCCAACUCCAUGCUUGAUUCAGACAGCCCAGAGCUCUAGAGCAUCUCCAACGGAUUUGCUCAAGACCACUGGUCUUAGUCUGUGGCAGAAGAUAAAAUUUCCACCAAAAAUACCUGACGUGCAGUGUGCUUAACGCAAUGAGAUUGGUGCAGAAUUAUGUAUCCUAAUCAUUGGCUGUUACUUUUUGUGCUGUAAGUUGCCGUUCACCAAGAGUGUCCUCAGCAUAAGCACCCUUGAAAAUGCUGGGACGAUCAUGAAAACCCCCAAGACAGAGGUUUUCAACCGUUUUGGGUCCACGGCACCCUUGAUCAACUACUUUCUUCCUGUGGCACUCCUGUGAGGCUCAGGAGCCCAGUUAUGUCACCCCUUGCCUGCAGAGCUGGCAGCCCCUCACAGCUUUUUGAAGACCCUCCCUUGUGGAGUGUUCCCUCAGCCUUCUUUCUCCUCUCCUUGGGAGUCCUCCGGGCAGCCGCUGCUGCUGCCCCCUGGUCUCUGAGCUGCCCCCACCCCAAAGAGAGGUGCCUCCUCACUCUGCCCCUCAGGAGUCUGGGAAGAGGAUGCCCCCAGCCUUAGUGGAGACUGGCCAAAGGUGAACAUGAGGCCACCAUCUUAUGCACCUUGGGAGGCAGCAGUGGGUGCCACUGUACCAGCAUGGCAAAAAGGCUCCCCUUCAGUGCCAGACACUCAUUUCCCUGGUAGGCAUUGCACACAGCAAGCACAAGAAAGGCAACAUAGCGUCUGCCUGCCUGCCCAACCUCCCACUUGGCAAGGGUUGGUGGGCUGGCUGGCUGGGCUCCCUCACUUGCUUGCUUAUUCCAAGGCCACUUCGGUUCCUGGCAACACCCCUUCCCUUCCCCAGGGCUACAACUGUUUUGCACAAAGUUAUGGCAACUUGGGCUUUCAGAGGAUCUCCUGGGUGCUGUGGCUUUUCCAAUCGCCAAAGCCAUGUUAAAAACUAGGCUGUGGGAUAUAGACCACCAGGAAACAUGUUCCCCUCUUUAUUUUCAACUCUUCUGGGCGCAGGAAUUUAACCUUAGUUAUUUACAAUUUUUGUUUAACCCACAUGAAAGAAGGGCUUUUACUGGCUAGGUUCAAUUGUAAUCCUUCUAACCUCCUUUGGGGUAGGUUUGCGGGUAUGGCAGAAGGAGACAGGAUCUGCCCAUGUGAUGCCCACCUGGUGGAAACUCUAGCUCACAUGGCCCUUAAUGGUAAAAUAUAUGAAGAUCUCCGCCAUAUAUGAAGAUCUCCACCAACAAUUCUUAGACCACCUAUGUAUCCCAACAUGGAAACCAGAGACAGAGGUUAUACACUUCUUAUUACAGGGGAGAGACCAGGAGCUCACCAAGACAGUAACCAAGUUCCUCUAUUUAAUUUUCUGCCACUGAAGUACGCUACAGGACCCUGCCCUUGCUGGAGUUCCACAGAGGUGAAAUAGAUUGCUCGCCUUUGGCAAAUGACUGUACUGUUGAAAUGGCAAUGAGAUCGCAUUGGCCUGUUUAUUCUGAAUGUUUGUAAGUGAUGCCAAUAAAGGUUUGAGGAUGAUGGUGAUGAUGAGUUCCUGGUAACCAGCACCCCCUGGCCAGCCCCAGAGGCACAUUUCGCCUGAAGAGCUUGUAGCCAGGGUUGCUGCAACAAACAGCUGUUCAAGCCUUUGGGAGGGAGAGACAUGAGAAGGC